GACUGGUCUGAAAGUAGUGAGUUAUCCGAAUUGAUUGUUUACAGUUACAGAUCAAACUCCUUGUUCUACUCUUUCCUCCCUUCUCAUUACUGCACUUGACUAGUCUUUU
ensembl:Y_RNA Y_RNA Y RNA